AAACAUGGGUGGUGCUGACAUAGCAAAGCAGGGCCCCAGUGGAAGGGAGAGAGUGAGGUGACUGACUUACUGACUGCCUGACUUGUCUGGUUUGCUUUGCUUGCUUGCCUGCCUGUAUGUAUUGUUUUGUUUUGUUUCAUCCCCCCCUUUCCCCAGGCCAUGUGACAACACUAUUGGAAUCAAGCUUACUGUCAGACCCAUCAGCAUAACAUGCCUGGCUCAUCCUCCUCUC
rnacentral:lncRNA from 1 species